rnacentral:rRNA from 1 species
AGAGUUUGAUCCUGGCUCAGGAUGAACGCUAGCUACAGGCUUAACACAUGCAAGUCGAGGGGCAGCAUGGUCUUAGCUUGCUAAGACCGAUGGCGACCGGCGCACGGGUGAGUAACGCGUAUCCAACCUGCCUUACACUCUUGGACAGCCUUCUGAAAGGGAGAUUAAUACAAGAUGUUAUCAUGAGUAAGCAUUUUCACAUGAUUAAAGGUUUACCGGUGUAAGAUGGGGAUGCGUUCCAUUAGAUAGUAGGCGGGGUAACGGCCACCUAGUCUUCGGAUGGAUAGGGGUUCUGAGAGGAAGGUCCCCCACAUUGGAACUGAGACACGGUCCAAACUCCUACGGGAGCA